UACGUAGGGGGCAAGCGUUGUCCGGAUUUAUUGGGCGUAAAGAGCGUGUAGGCGGCCACACAGGUCUGCUGUGAAAACUCGAGGCUCAACCUCGAGCUGUCGGUGGAAACCGUGUGGCUAGAGUCCGGAAGAGGAGAGUGGAAUUCCCGGUGUAGCGGUGAAAUGCGCAGAUAUCAGGAGGAACACCGGUGGCGAAGGCGGUUCUCUGGGCAUUACCUGACGCUGAGGAGCGAAAGUGUGGGGAGCGAACAGG
rnacentral:rRNA from 1 species